UUAGCGAAUAGCGCUUUCUUAGGUACAGUGAAUUUUCACUGUAUUUAGCGAAAAACGCUACCUUAAGUACAGUGAAUUUUCACUGUAUCUAACACCAAGCAUAUUAUUUUAGAAUUUUUUGUUUUAGACACAUGGCAUUUGCUAUCCUACUGUAAGUUAAAACUAGUUGUAAAAUUAAAAAAAUUUAUAUUGGAACUUCUAUUUCUUUUAACAUUCAUGUUUAUUUAAUUGAGUUACAACUAAGGUUAUAUAUGAAUUAUUUAUACUAUCUUAGAAUUUGCUGCUUUAGAGGCAUGGCAUUUAGUGUCACAUUGUAGGUUUAAAUUGGUUGUAGAAUUUAUAUUGUAACUUGCAUAUUUAUUUAGUUGAGUUUAUAUUUGAUGUGUUAGUAAUAUUUUAGAAUUUACUGUUUUAGACAUGUGGCAUGUGGUAUCCCACUAUUACAACUAAGUUUGUGUAUGGCUUGUUUAUAUUAUUUCAGAAUUUGCUAUUUUAGACACUUGGUAUAAGCUGUCAUACUAAUUUGCUGUUUUAGACACAUGACUUGUGAUAUCCCACUAAUUAGCUAUUUUAAACAUGUGACAAGUGGUAUGACACUCAUAUUCAAGAGUAUUUCUGCAUGGUGCACUCUGACUGUUUACAAUAUUUGCAUACUAAAAUGAGUAAAAGUGACUUCAACAACCAGAAUGUAUUUUUGAUAAAUAUUAGUAAUAACAGCUCAUAUUGAAACGAGAUAUUGUGUGAAGAGGUUUUCAAAGAAGUCGUCAAAGCUUCCAAUUCCCGAGAUAACCGUAAAAGCAUUCCAUACAUGAUUAAAGAAUCGUUUAAAAGUUUGCUUAAUUUCGACAGUGUAAUUUUAAUUACUAUUUUUUUAAAAAUAAACCAAUCAAUUUA